rnacentral:tRNA from 1 species
GUCCUCAUAGCUUAAUUGGAUAAAGCAUUAGCCUCCGAAGCUAAAGAUUGCGCGUUCGAGUCGCGCUGGGGACA